rnacentral:rRNA from 1 species
GUGGGGAAUAUUGGACAAUGGGCGAAAGCCUGAUCCAGCCAUGCCGCGUGUGUGAAGAAGGUCUUCGGAUUGUAAAGCACUUUAAGUUGGGAGGAAGGGCAGUAAGUUAAUACCUUGCUGUUUUGACGUUACCGACAGAAUAAGCACCGGCUAACUUCGUGCCAGCAGCCGCGGUAAUACGAAGGGUGCAAGCGUUAAUCGGAAUUACUGGGCGUAAAGCGCGCGUAGGUGGUUUUGUAAGUUGGAGGUGAAAUCCCCGGGCUCAACCUGGGAACUGCCUCCAAAACUGCAUGACUAGAGUACGGUAGAGGGUAGUGGAAUUUCCGGUGUAGCGGUGAAAUGCGUAGAUAUAGGAAGGAACACCAGUGGCGAAGGCGACUACCUGGACUGAUACUGACACUGAGGUGCGAAAGCGUGGGGAGCAAACAGGAUUAGAAACCCGAGUAGUCC